rnacentral:rRNA from 1 species
AUUGAACGCUGGCGGCAUGCUUUACACAUGCCAGUCGAACGGUAACAGGCCUUCGGGUGCUGACGAGUGGCGAACGGGUGAGUAAUGCAUCGGAACGUACCCAGAGGUGGGGGAUAACGCAGCGAAAGCUGUGCUAAUACCGCAUGUGAUCUGAGGAUGAAAGCGGGGGAUCGAGCAGCAAUGUUUGGCCUCGCGCCUUUGGAGCGGCCGAUGUCGGAUUAGCUAGUUGGUGGGGUAAAGGCCUACCAAGGCGACGAUCCGUAGCUGGUCUGAGAGGACGACCAGCCACACUGGGACUGAGACACGGCCCAGACUCCUACGGGAGGCAGCAGUGGGGAAUUUUGGACAAUGGGCGCAAGCCUGAUCCAGCAAUGCCGCGUGCGGGAAGAAGGCCUUCGGGUUGUAAACCGCUUUUGGCAGGAACGAAACGGUGUCCGCUAAUACCGGGCGCUAAUGACGGUACCUGCAGAAUAAGCACCGGCUAACUACGUG